UAAUUUAGAGAGUUGUACCGUCCUUUUUAUUUUGCAAAUUUAUUUUAAUUUUUUAGUGUCUGUCAUAACAUACAUUCUAGUACACUGAUAGUGAACAAUCACAUUUUUCUUCUCCUGUAUCAUGCAACACAGGUAAGAUGUACUGAUGGGUAACCAGCUGCAGUUAUCCCCUGUCCUAUUGUUUCAAGCAUUCUGUAUAUGUCUGAAGAACAGUCAUGGUCUUUGUCCCCUGCAACAAAGUGAUGAAUUCCACCCUCCAGUUCAA
rnacentral:lncRNA from 1 species